rnacentral:lncRNA from 1 species
AAAUAAUAACAAUGAAGACUCUGAGGGUCUACAACUAGGAGAGAAAAGGAAGACUUCACUCUUUCUCCUUGUUCUUCCCUUUUCCCUCUAUUGACCCCAACCUUCCACCGCCCAGCCCACCGCUCCCAAAGACCCCAAGAACUUUUGUAUUUACCGCUUCGCACUUGCUGUACGGGUCUAUGACCUUCUUUAGAAACUUUUUCUUUACGAGUUUAUUUUGGCUUGUGCUGAGCAUUCAUAAAAUUCCUAGGGAACUGGAGGUUUAAACGCUGGGCUUGUAAAAGGAGUAGGUGGGAGGGAGUGGGAACCCGGCAGAGAGGGGAGAGGACAGCAGCCAGCCCUUGGAAGCUGGAAGACAAGGCUAAGUUUUCCACUCUCUGCUCAAACCUCGCCUUCUUGGCUCCGGAUCCUACUCCGACCUGUCCUUCCCCACACCUGCUCUGCCCCACACUGACUUCUGGGGUCUGGAGAAAGGACAACGUCACCAGUGUGAACUCCGGGCCUGGUUUCCUGGGGAGAAUGGCGUCAGCCCGACCUGCUGCCGAACCUCACCACCUGAGGACCUGGUCUCCAAGGCCCUGGUCUCUGUCUCACACUCCUAGCCCUUGGCUCAGUCGGCCUGGCAGUGACCACAGCCCCGGGCUCUCUUCUCUCCACCUUCCCAGGGCCUGGAUGGCCUUUGAGUAAACAGAUAGCCCAGCGAGGUAUGUGAUCAAUUAGCUUUGCUGAAAAUACAAUCAUUUUGUUAUUCCAAGCUGAUGAGAAGGCCUGCUCUCCCAGCCUCCACAUGCCAAUCAGCCCGUGUCACCGAUAUAAUUUUCCACAUAAACACAACCUUUGUGCAACAUCUACUCUUGUAAAUAGAUGUAAUUCCCAAACCAAAUAACGUGCUUGGAGGGGAAAUGGAUAUUAUGCAUGCAAAAAGAAAAGCCGGCAAUUUUUACACUUUCCAGGCAACAAAAGAUUACCCCUAAUUGCUAACGGGGGAGUGGGGAGCGGUGGGACAGGGAGGUGGCCUGCUGCUGGGAAGCCAGGGAGGCCAGCUUCCAGGAGGAUUUUUUUCUCUCUCUGCACAUGUGUGAGCACAGACCACCAGGAACUGCCUAACCCGGGACUUGUCCUAUUUAGGCAACUGGGGAGAACGUGGUUGUUGUUGAUACCUUAAAGGAAACGAAGAGUUACUUAAUUAUAAGGUUUGUUCUCUCUUGCCGGGAGAGACCCACUCCAAACCCUAAACGAUACACAUCCUGUUGCAGAAUGUUCCCUACAUUCCUGCCUCGAUGGGUUGUGGAGAGUGUGAGUUCCUCUGAAAUGCAUUGCUGUGUCUUUCUCAAUGUUCUGCUCAUUUACGUGAAUCCCUAAAUUAGACCUUGAAAGCAGCGGAAGUUCU